rnacentral:rRNA from 1 species
AGUGAACGCUGGCGGUAGGCCUAACACAUGCAAGUCGAACGGCAGCACAGUAAGAGCUUGCUCUUACGAGUGGCGAGUGGCGGACGGGUGAGGAAUACAUCGGAAUCUACUUUUUCGUGGGGGAUAACGUAGGGAAACUUACGCUAAUACCGCAUACGACCUACGGGUGAAAGCAGGGGAUCUUCGGACCUUGCGCGAUUGAAUGAGCCGAUGUCGGAUUAGCUAGUUGGCGGGGUAAAGGCCCACCAAGGCGACGAUCCGUAGCUGGUCUGAGAGGAUGAUCAGCCACACUGGAACUGAGACACGGUCCAGACUCCUACGGGAGGCAGCAGUGGGGAAUAUUGGACAAUGGGCGCGAGCCUGAUCCAGCCAUACCGCGUGGGUGAAGAAGGCCUUCGGGUUGUAAAGCCCUUUUGUUGGGAAAGAAAAGCAGCAGGUUAAUACCCCGCUGUUCUGACGGUACCCAAAGAAUAAGCACCGGCUAACUUCGUG